rnacentral:rRNA from 1 species
UACGUAGGGUGCAAGCGUUGCCCCGGAUUUAUUGGGCGUAAAGGGCGCGUAGGCGGCUCUGCACGUUCGUUGUGAAAUCCGCCCGGCUCAACUGGGCGGGGUCAGCGGAUACGGCAGAGCUUGAGCAAGCUAGGGGGCAAUGGAAUUCCUGGUGUAGCGGUGGAAUGCGCAGAUAUCAGGAGGAACACCGGUGGCGAAGGCGGAUCUCUGGGCCGUAACUGACGCUGAGGAGCGAAAGCAUGGGGAGCGAACAGG